AUUGAACGCUGGCGGCAGGCCUAACACAUGCAAGUCGAGCGGAUGAAGGGAGCUUGCUCCUGUAUUCAGCGGCGGACGGGUGAGUAAUGCCUAGGAAUCUGCCUGGUAGUUGGGGAUAACGUCCGGAAACGGGCGCUAAUACCGCAUACGUCCUGAGGGAGAAAGUGGGGGAUCUUCGGACCUCACGCUAUCAGAUGAGCCUAGGUCGGAUUAGAUAGUUGGUGGGGUAAAGGCCUACCAAGGCGACGAUCCGUAACUGGUCUGAGAGGAUGAUCAGUCACACUGGAACUGAGACACGGUCCAGACUCCUACGGGAGGCAGCAGUGGGGAAUAUUGGACAAUGGGAGAAAGCCUGAUCCAGACAUGCCGAGUGUGUGAAGAAGGUCUUCGGAUUGGAAAGGAAAUUAAGUUGGGAGGAAGGGCAGUAAGUUAAUACCUUGCUGUUUUGACGUUACCAACAGAAUAAGCACCGGCUAACUUCGUG
rnacentral:rRNA from 1 species